rnacentral:rRNA from 1 species
CUACGGGUUGCAGCAGUGAGGAAUAUUGCACAAUGGGGGGAACCCUGAUGCAGCAACGCCGCGUGGAGGAUGACGCAUUUCGGUGUGUAAACUCCUUUUAUAUGUCAAGAAAAUGACGGUAGCAUAUGAAUAAGCACCGGCUAACUCCGUGGCCAGCAGCCGCGGUAAUACGGAGGGUGCAAGCGUUACUCGGAAUCACUGGGCGUAAAGGACGCGUAGGCGGGUUGGAAAGUCAGGUGUGAAAUCCUACAGCUUAACUGUAGAACUGCACUUGAAACUUCUAAUCUAGAGUAUGGGAGGGGGAGAUGGAAUUAGUGGUGUAGGGGUAAAAUCCGUAGAUAUCACUAGGAAUACCUAAAGCGAAGGCGGUCUCCUGGAACAUUACUGACGCUAAGGCGUGAAAGCGUGGGGAGCAAACAGGAUUAGAUACCCCAGUAGUC